AUCCAGCUGACGAGUCCCAAGCAGGACGAAACCGGCGUCCUGGAU
rfam:Schistosoma curassoni strain Dakar, Senegal genome assembly, scaffold: SCTD_scaffold0012721